CAGGUCUCUAACUAAAAUUAGUAAUGUCCUGAAAAAUUUGGAAAAUGUUUUCAUCUAGACCAACACUUUCAUUGUUUUCAGAAGUUUGUGUCUAUAUUUAUUACAUUCACAGAUGGAGGCUUCUUCCCCCAUCUUAUUUAGCAACUGCAUCAAAGCAGAUCAGUACACAGGAAAUGAAGAAUUGGUAUAUUGUCCAAGAUGAUUAUUGUAUUGUUCCUCCUGAUGGAACUGACUGACAAAUUAUUCUGCAUCCAGCUGAUGAAAGAACAGUAUAGAUAUGCUUAGCAUGACAUUGGAGAAAAAAAAAAAAAAAGAAAAAAAAAAGAGGUCUCCUUCCCUCUGGCAACAGUAUAUUACAACAAUAAUAAAACAGAAACUAUAUGCUUUUGCUUUAUUGCA
rnacentral:lncRNA from 1 species